CAGCACUUGAAAACUAAACUAAACUUCAAUGCGAGUAUGGUUGUUACCUUUCCCCUGUGGUCCUCUGUCCCUCAGGUUUUUCCUGAUGUAUUUGAUAAACAAGGAUGAGACAGAGCACACCGGUCAGGAGUCGUAUGUCUGGAAGAUGUACCAGGAAAGGUGCUGGGAUUUCUUCCCUGCUGGAGACUGUUUCCGCAAGCAGUAUGAGGACCAGCUUAGCUGAGGUCUGCAGCUGGCCCUCCCCCACCUCAAGUGCCUUACUGCCCUCAUAAGCUCCUGUCCAGGCAGCUGGGCACAGUGAUGCUGAACCAGACAAAUAAAGCCUAUUCCUAUGCUACACCCCA